CCAGCACCUGCGGUAAUUCCAGCUCCAAUAGCGUAUAUUAAAGUUGUUGCAGUUAAAAAGCUCGUAGUUGGAUUUGUGGUGUUCCCUGAGGUCCUAUUUGGGUACUUUUGGGGAGCUCCAUCCUUGGGUGGAUCCUGUGUGGCAUUAGGUUGUCGUGCAGGGGAUGCCCAUCGUUUACUGUGAAAAAAUUAGAGUGUUCAAAGCAGGCUUACGCCGUUGAAUAUAUUAGCAUGGAAUAAUGAGAUAGGACCUUGGUACUAUUUUGUUGGUUUGCGCACCGAGGUAAUGAUUAAUAGGGACAGUUGUGGGUAUUCGUAUUCCAUUGUCAGAGGUGAAAUUCUUGGAUUUCUGGAAGACGAACUAAUGCGAAAGCAUUUACCAAGGAUGUUUUCAUUAAUCAAGAACGAAAGU
rnacentral:rRNA from 1 species